UACAGAGGUCUCAAGCGUUGUUCGGAUUCAUUGGGCGUAAAGGGUGCGUAGGUGGCGCGCUAAGUCAGGUGUGAAAUUUCGGAGCUUAACUCCGAAACUGCAUUUGAUACUGGCGUGCUUGAGGACUGGAGAGGAGACUGGAAUUCAUGGUGUAGCAGUGAAAUGCGUAGAGAUCAGGAAGAACAUCGGUGGCGAAGGCGCUCUGCUGGACCAUAACUGACACUCAGGGACGAAAGCUAGGGGAGCGAAUGGG
rnacentral:rRNA from 1 species